AGGAGUAGCAUGCAGAUCCUCAGCUAGACUGGAGGGGACAGAGGAGAAGGGUCCCCAGGGUCCAGCCUGAGGCACAGAUGGGAGCUUGCCUGAUUGUCUACCCAUCAACCUGGACCCCAGAGCCUGCCCAGCUGAGUGUGUGCAGAGGGUCCCAGGUGAGGGGCGCUGCUCAGGCCUCUGCAGAGACCACCCUGGAGACACUGACAGAGAGAGGCCUUUCCUACUGAGCCUGGCCUCUCUGCACAGCCUGUUCAGAAAGAAGAACUGAGGCUCAUGGAUAUACACUAAGCCCCCCUCCCCCAAUCCUGCCACCUAGCCUGAGGACUCUUCCCUGCACCUUGAUAACCUGAGAGAACUGGGAGGAGAAAGGGGUUGUGACAAUGACCAGGACUCAGGGCAGAGGUGGAAACAAGUGUGCCUGAUGUAUGCAGCUGAUCCCCCAGGACAUCUC
rnacentral:lncRNA from 1 species